rnacentral:rRNA from 1 species
GACGAACGCUGGCGGCGUGCCUAAUACAUGCAAGUCGAACGCAGUGGGGACGGGUGAGUAACACGUGGGUAACCUCCCAUCAGAGGGGAUAACACUUGGCAACAGGUGCUAACCCGAUACGGAUGGAUGGACUCGCGGUGCAUUAGCUAGGGGGUGGGGUAACGGCUCACCAAGGCCACGAUGCAUAGCCGACCUGAGAGGGUGAGCAGCCACACUGGGACUGAGACACGGCCCAGACUCCUACGGGAGGCAGCAGUAGGGAAUCUUCGGCAAUGGACGAAAGUCUGACCGAGCAACGCCGCGUGAGUGAAGAAGGUUUUCGGAUCGUAAAACUCUGUUGGUAGAGAAGCGGUACCUAAACAGAAAGCCACGGCUAACUACGUGCCAGCAGCCGCGGUAAUAC